AUUGAACGCUGGCGGAAUGCUUUACGCAUGCAAGUCGAGCGGCAGCGCGGGGCAACCUGGCGGCGAGCGGCGAACGGGUGAGUAAUGUAUCGGAACGUGUCCUGUCGUGGGGGAUAGCUCGGUGAAAACCGGAUUAAUACCGCAUACGAUCGAGAGAUGAAAGUGGGGGACCGCAAGGCCUCACGCGAUAGGAGCGGCCGAUAUCUGAUUAGCGAGUUGGUGGGGUAAAGGCCCACCAAGGCUUCGAUCAGUAGCUGGUCUGAGAGGAUGAUCAGCCACACUGGGACUGAGACACGGCCCAGACUCCUACGGGAGGCAGCAGUGGGGAAUUUUGGACAAUGGGGGCAACCCUGCUCCAGCCAUUCCGCGUGAGUGAAGAAGGCCUUCGGGUUGUAAAGCUCUUUUGUACGGGAAGAAACGGUUUCAACUAAUACUUGAGACUACUGACGGUACCGGAAGAAUAAGGACCGGCUAACUACGUGCCAGCAGCCGCGGUAACAC
rnacentral:rRNA from 1 species